rnacentral:rRNA from 1 species
UUACACAUGCAAGUCGAACGGCAGCACGGGAGCUUGCUCCUGGUGGCGAGUGGCGAACGGGUGAGUAAUAUAUCGGAACGUGCCCUAGAGUGGGGGAUAACUAGUCGAAAGAUUAGCUAAUACCGCAUACGAUCUACGGAUGAAAGUGGGGGAUCGCAAGACCUCAUGCUCAUGGAGCGGCCGAUAUCUGAUUAGCUAGUUGGUGGGGUAAAAGCUCACCAAGGCGACGAUCAGUAGCUGGUCUGAGAGGACGACCAGCCACACUGGAACUGAGACACGGUCCAGACUCCUACGGGAGGCAGCAGUGGGGAAUUUUGGACAAUGGGCGCAAGCCUGAUCCAGCAAUGCCGCGUGAGUGAAGAAGGCCUUCGGGUUGUAAAGCUCUUUUGUCAGGGAAGAAACGGUCUUGGUUAAUACCUGGGGCUAAUGACGGUACGGUACCUGCAGAAA